CUCGUCUUAAUCAAGGAAUCCUGACUUAACCUUAUUCUUUCUCACAGACACAGUUCAAUGCUGCAAUGGAGCCUGUGGUGAGCACUGAUUCAAUAGGUGGUUUGCCUCCUUAGACGCAGAAUCACAGGACUAGAAGGAGUGAAAACAACACUUUAUCUCUACAUUGGCUUCAGGGAGGACAGUGCCCAAACCACCUCAAGUACAGAAUAAUUUACUCUCAUUUAGAAGAUCUCCAGACAGAGCUCGAAUGGCUCCCUUGGCAACAAAUUUUAGUUUUAACAAUCUUUGUAGCUUUAUCCUUCCCUCCAGAUAAUGCCAUAACUGUGUACUCUAGAUUAAACGUUUUCUCCUUUUCUGCCCACAGUGCUUUUGAAGCCAAACAUGAUUUCACAUAUAGUGUUGGGUCAUCAUUAAGUCACCUUUCAGAAGUCCCUCUAAAUUAAGGAGUCCUCAUCCUUUCCUUAAAUUUUUCAUGUGUCCUGACCUAUGAGAAUCUGUUAUACGCAUGUUUAAUUUCUAUGGAAUACCUCAUCAUACAACUUGAAAUUCUGAUUGACUAGUGGUUUUUUUCCUGCAUAAGUGCUACUUCAUCUAUGCCUCAGUAACAAACAACAACAAUCACUUAAUGGAAAUGGUGGCAGGCAGAAUUCUAAGAUAGCUGCCAGAUUCCUGCCGCCCCUGGUGUGCAUUCCUUGAUAAUCACUCUCCUUUGAGUGCAGGCAGACCUGUGUGUAUGAUACCACUGCUAUGAUUACAUUGCUCAUCAGGCGACUGUGAGCUAGCCAAAAUGGAGAAUAUUCUGGUGGGUCUGACCUAGCCAGGUGAGCCCGUUUCUGAGUCAUAGAGAUUGAAAGUGUGAGAGGGAUUUGAUGUGAGGGGGAAUUCUCUGUUGCUGGUUUUGAGUAUAAAAGGGGCCAUAUAAUAAAGACUUGAGAGUGGUCACUAGUUGCUGAGAUCCAUCCCUAAUUGAAGCUAGCAAGAAACACUUCUACCAACAACUUGAAGGAAUUUGGAAAAGAAUCCUUCCCUAGUCAAGUCUCUAGAGGGGAAUGCAGCUAACUGACACCUUGAUUUCAGCCUCGUGAGACCCUGAACAGAGAUAUCAACCACUCAGUUGCCUGGACCUCUGACAGAAAUGAAAGAUAAUAAAUGUCUGUUGUUUUAAGCCACUAAGUUUAUGGAAAUUUGUUACACAGCAAUGGAAAACCAAUAUAGGCCCCUAUCCAUGAGUUACAUUGUAGUAAACACCUUUCCUACAUUAUAGAUAUCUCAUCUAACUCCUACAGCAACCCUUGAGGUAAUCACUGUGUCCAUUGUCAGAGCAAGAAAACUGAAGCUCGGCUUCAUAAACAGAAGCAGCAAGGAUUGAUUCCUUAAAUACUGUGAAUUCCACUCUCACUUUAUUUGAAUUUGUGACAGUGAAAUUCACAGUAUUCUUUAAACAUUUUACCCCCAAGCGAUGCUCUUUCCUCUGAAUUGCUUUGCCUGUCCUAAUAAUUUUAUUUAUACAGGCUGAUGCUGGUGACUUGGGAAUAGUAUUUUUAUCCAAACCAUUUGGCUUCUUAUAGGUAUGAGCCACUGAGGGAGCUAUUUUUUAUUUAAUUGUGCUUUGGAAAAAUCAAACGUAGCCUUGAGUUUUAAAAUUAUUAAGCUUACACUUUUUCACAAAAUAGAAAUGGAGUAAUAUAGCUCUGUCCUUCCGUUUUUUAAAGCCAAAAAAUGUAAGAAUGGAAUGUACUGGCUCACUGCUCCCACGGUGUCCUUACCAGCACAACUUACCCCAUCCCUCCCUAGCCCACUCUUGAGGAUACUUUCUUGCCACUGUCAGGCUUACUCCUGCCUCCUAGACUGAGGAAAGAAAAGCCUCCUGGUUUGGAGCUCAUAAUCAAGUCAGCCUUGCUGCAGGGCUCAUUUUAAGCCAGUAUCCUGGACCAGAUAAGGAAGCUGAAGCUUUGAGAAUUUAAUUUGCUCAAGGGGAGGCCAGGACAAGAAAUAAUGAAGAGUCCGAUGUGGCAGGAAUGUAGGAAACAAGUCAAUGAUGGAAGAUAAAUAUGGAGACGUGAUGAAGGCAAAAUUCUGAAGGGUCUUAGAGCCCAUUAUAAGACGUUUGGUUUUUAUGAAUAUUUCACUGAUUGCCUUGCCCGCUUCUCAAAGGCCCACUUCUCUGUGGAAUGAUGCAGUUGCUAAGAAGAGCUGUUAAUGUCAUGACCUCAAUGAAUAAAAAAGACUUCCUUUUCUCCAUGCCCACUCAAGUAAAAGGCUUCUCUCUGAACUCCUGCUAAUUUUUCAUCAGCAAAGGUGCACAGCCUUUUGGAAGUGAAAUGAUUACUAGUGAAGAAAAAGAAAGAACCUAACACUUAUUUUACAAGCCUCCCAGUGACCACUCUUCAGACAAAACUUCUUAUAAUAGCUUCCUUCCCUGAAUCUUUUGCGAAACAUCAAAUCACAAAGAGAUCUUAUUUCUGGCAAGGAAGACUCAUAUAUGACUCCUGGUACAUGGGUACAAGGAUUCUAUAGGCUAUAUACCUAAUCGUGGAAUUGUUGAGUCUCAGAGUAUUCAAAUGUUCAACUUGACACAUUAUCAUGAAACUGUUCUCCAGAGUGGCUUUCCAAUUUACUCUUCCACCAAAAAUGUGUUCCUAUUGAUCUACAUCUUCUCUAGAACAUCUUAUUUUAGGUAAUUUAAUUUUUUCAUUGUUAUGAAAUGGUAUCUCACUGUCUUAUGCAUUUCUCUGGUUAAUAAUGAGAUUGGUCAUAAAUUCAUAUGUUCAUUGUGAAAUGUCUAUUCUUUUGUUGCCCAUUUCAUCUAUUGGGAUGGCUAUCUUCUAACCGAUUUUACAUAGUUCUAGUGGUUGUUUAUGCAUUCUGGAAACCGGUUCUUUAUUAAUCAUAGGUGUGGCAUUAUGGUUCACAUUGUUACUCUCUUGCUAUACUGUGAUGAACAGAAGUUUUUCAUUUUCAUGAAGUAGACUUAUCAACAUUUUCUUAUGUUUUAGAUGUUUAUUUAGAAACCCUUCUCUACAAACAUUCUAAUAUUUUCUUUUAAAAGUUUUGAAGUUUUGACUUUUACAUUUAAAUUAUUAAUCAAAUUAGAAUUAUCUUCCAUAUACAUGUGAGUCCUCAAUUCUUGCUCCAUUAAACAAUUUAUCCUUCCUCGCAUCAGUAUCUUCCCACCUUAAUUGCUAUUGGAUUAUAAUAACUCUUGAUAUUUGGUGUGCCAAAUUCCCCCAACAUAUUAAUCCUUUCGGAUAUUCUAUUCUCAGCCCUUUAUUUUUCCAUAUGAAACUCAGAAUCAUGAAGUUUAUUUAAAAUUCUGCUAGGAUUUUGAUAAAAAUUUCCAUAAAAAACUUUUCAGUUUGACAUUGUUAGGACUGAGUUUUCUUAUCCAUGAAUGUGAAAUAUCUGUGUUAUUUUAUCUGCAAAAUAAAGAUAAAGAAAUAUCUUUAUUAUUGUUUAAUGUUUUUAUGAAAAGUUCAUGAUUUUUUAUCUAGAGGUAUCACACAUCUUUUUUUAGAUAUAUUCUAGGAUACUUUUUAGUUUUGUUGCUUUUGUAAGUGUUGUCAUGUUGGGAGUCUCUGAGAACCUCCUCAAGCUUGAUGACCCACUAGAAGGACUCUCAGGACUUAGAAGUGGUUAUAUUGAUGGUCACAGUUUAUUAUAACAAAAAGACACAGAUAACAAUAAACAAAGAGAAAAGGCACAUGGGGUGAAGUUCAGGAGAAAUAAGGCACAAGCCUUCAGGUAUUCCCCUCCCAGGAGUAAAUAUGCUAACUGAAGCACACAAAAAAAGAAAAGAUAAAUGCAAAAAAGAGCAUAAAAUAUAUAUGACAUAGUUUUAAAAAUGUGUAACAUGCAUGUAAUUGAAGUAUCAGAAAGAAUGGAGACAAGGAAUAGGGGAAGAAGGAAUAUUUGAAGAGAUAAUAACCAAAAACUUUCUAAAACUAACCCACAAAAUCAAGAAAUUCUGAAGAAACUAGAAAAGAUACAUGCAAAAUAAAUCCCAUUUUGGCUCAUAGUGAACUCCUGAAAGCCAAGGACAAGGACCAAUUACUUAAAGCACCCAAAAAAAAACAACAUUGCUUUCAUAAUAGCAAUAAAAGACUAAUAACUGAAUUUUCUACACAAAUGAUGGAAGCUGGAAGAUAUAAAGAUCAUAAGGAUAUAUUCUAUUCCUGGAAUUGAUGUGCCUUGGUCAUAAUGUCUUUUUUAAAAUACAAAGUUGUAAUCAGGUUUCUAAAUAGUUUAAGAUUUUUGCAUCUAAUUGUUUGGAAAGUUCCCCCUUUUUUAUACUCAUAUCUGCAUUAGCUAUCAAGGCUAAAAAUGACUGCUUUAAAAGAGUUAAGGAAAGUUUCCUCUUUGUUAUACCUAUGAAAAAGUUUAUAUACAAUUAAAAUUUGAUGAUAACAUUUGUUAUAUUUUCUUAUAGAACUAUUUGUAUUUGGUGUUCUAUUUAUGAGGAGGCUUUUAAAAUAUUGAUUUGACUUCUUUAGUAGUUGUAGGGCACUGAAGUUUUCUGGUACUCUAACUGCAGCCCACGUAACUUAUCUUAUAUUCUCAUUAUCAUUUAGUUCUAAGUAUUUUUUUACUUUCUAUUAUAAAGUAUUCUUUGACCUAGGAGGUAUUUAGAAGUUUGCUUUUAAACUGUCAAAUGUAUGAAAUUGUCUUAAUUUUCCUUUUAUUACUAAUAGCUACAUUAUUUUCCUUCUUGUGAGAGAAGGUAGUCUGUGGUACUUUUGGAAAUAUUUAAAGACUUUUUGGCCUAGUAUGUGAUAAAUUUGUGAAAAUGUUCCUUGCAUGUCAAAAAGAAUUAUCCAGAAUUAUCCAAUAAUUGGAUAAAUGUUCUUAAUAUGUUUAUUAGGACAUUCAUGUUCAUUGUGUUUACAAUUUCUAUAACAUUGCUAGUUUUGAUCUGCUUUUCAUGUCAAUACCUGAGAUAGGUCUGUUUAAAUUUCUUACUAUAAUGGUAGAUUUGUUACAAUUUCAUUGUAGCCUGUACAUUUUUGCUUUAUAUAUGCUGAAUAAAUGUUAAUAUGUGCCCAUAUAAGCUUAAACAUUAUAAUUACUUUAUCUUCCUGGAAAAUUGUAAUUUUCAUCAAUAUGUGCUCACCCCCUUUUUAUCUGGUAACUAUUUUGACCUU
rnacentral:lncRNA from 10 species